rnacentral:rRNA from 1 species
UGGGGAAUAUUGCACAAUGGGGGAAACCCUGAUGCAGCGACGCCGCGUGAACGAAGAAGGUAUUCGAAUCGAAAAGUUCUGUCCUAUGGGAAGAUAAUGACAGUACAAUGGAAGAAAGCCCGGGCAAAUUCCGGGCCAGCAGCCGCGGUAAUACGUAUGGAGCGAGCGUUGUCCGGAAUUAUUGGGCGUAAAGGGUACGAGGGCGGUUUAAUAAGUCGAAUGUUAAAGAUCGGGGCUCAACCCCGUAAAGCAUUGGAAACUGAUAAACUUGAGUAGUGGAGAGGAAAGUGGAAUUCCUAGUGUAGUGGUGAAAUACGUAGAUAUUAGGAGGAAUACCAGUAGCGAAGGCGACUUUCUGGACACAAACUGACGCUGAGGUACGAAAGCGUGGGGAGCAAACAGG